UACAGAGGUGGCAAGCGUUGUUCGGAAUUACUGGGCGUAAAGGGCGCGUAGGCGGUUCGUUAAGUCCUGUGUGAAAUCCCCCGGCUCAACUGGGGAACUGCACAGGAAACUAGCGGGCUUGAGUUCGGGAGAGGGAAGCGGAAUUCCGGGUGUAGCGGUGAAAUGCGUAGAUAUCCGGAGGAACACCGGUGGCGAAGGCGGCUUGCUGGGCCAGUUCUGACGCUGAGGAGCGAAAGCGUGGGGAGCGAACAGG
rnacentral:rRNA from 1 species